AGCGAACGCUGGCGGCAGGCUUAACACAUGCAAGUCGAACGCACCCUUCGGGGUGAGUGGCAGACGGGCGAGUAACACGUGGGAAUGUACCUUUCGGUUCGGAACAACUCCGGGAAACUGGAGCUAAUACCGGAUAAGCCCUUACGGGGAAAGAUUUAUCGCCGAAAGAUAAGCCCGCGGCCUAUCAGCUAGUUGGUGAGGUAACGGCUCACCAAGGCUAAGACGGGGUAGCUGGUCUGAGAGGACGACCAGCCUCACUGGAACUGAGACACGGUCCAGACACCUACGGGUGGCAGCAGUCGAGAAUUUUUCUCAAUGGGCGAAAGCCUGAAGGAGCGACGCCGCGUGGGGGAUGAAGGGCUUCGGCUCGUAAACCCCUGUCAUU
rnacentral:rRNA from 1 species